rnacentral:rRNA from 1 species
AGUGGAUGGGGAGCAACCUAGUUGUGCGUGUGUAAAGGUAGUGCCAAGAAAAGCGAUGAUCAUGUUGAAAAUCAAUUCCCGGUACCCGAAACCGACACAGGUGGGCAAGUAGAGAAUACUAAGGGGCGCGAGGUAACUCUCUCCAAGGAACUCGGCAAAAUGACCCCGUAACUUAGGGAGAAGGGGUGCCACCGAGAGGUGGUCGCAGUGAAGAGGCCCAGGCGACUGUUUAGCAAAAACAUAGGUCUCUGCGAACUCGAAAGAGGAGGUAUAGGGGCUGACGCCUGCCCAGUGCCGGAAGGUUAAAGAAGUUGGUCAGUUUUAGGAUGAAGCUAGCGACUGAAGCCCCGGUGAACGGCGGCCGUAACUAUAACGGUCCUAAGGUAGCGAAAUUCCUUGUCGGGUAAGUUCCGACCCGCACGAAAGGCGUAACGAUCUGGGCGCUGUCUCGGAGAGAGGCUCGGCGAAAUAGGAUUGUCUGUGAAGAUACGGACUACCUGCAUUUGGACAGAAAGACCCUAUGAAGCUUUACUAUAGCUUGGAAUUGUGUUCGGGCUUCCUGUGCGCAGGAUAGGUGGGAGGCGAAGAAGGUAUUCUUGUGGGGAUACUGGAGCCAACGGUGAGAUACCACUCUCAGGAGGCUAGAAUUCUAACUUAAUUAAGGACAGUUUCAGGUGGGUAGUUCGACUGGGGCGGUCGCCUCCAAAAAGGUAACGGAGGCGUACAAAGGUUCCCUCAGACUGGUUGGAAAUCAGUCGCAGAGUGCAAAGGCAGAAGGGAGCUUGACUGCGAGAAGUACAGUUCGAGCAGGGUGGAAACACGGUCUUAGUGAUCCGACGGUGCUGUGUGGAAGGGCCGUCGCUCAACGGAUAAAAGUUACUCUAGGAUAACAGGCUGAUCUCCCCCAAGAGUUCACAUCGACGGGGAGGUUUGGCACCUCGAUGUCGGCUCAUCGCAACCUGGGGCGGAAGUACGUCCCAAGGGUUGGGCUGUUCGCCCAUUAGAGCGGUACGUGAGCUGGGUUCAGAACGUCGUGAGACAGUUCGGUCCAUAUCCGAUGUAGGCGUGAGAAUAUUGAGAGGAGCCUUCCUUAGUACGAGAGGACCGGGAAGGACGCACCGCUGGUGUACCUGUUAUGAUGCCAAUUGUAAACGCAGGGUAGCCAAGUGCGGAGAGGAUAACCGCUGAAAGCAUCUAAGUGGGAAGCCCACCUCAAGAUGAGUAUUCUGGUGUAAGGUCACGGGAAGACGACCCGUAAAUAGGCACGAGGUGGAAGUGCAGAGAUGUAUGAAGCCGAAGUGUACUAAUAGACCGUCGGCUUGAU